CCUACGGGGGGCUGCAGUGGGGAAUAUUGCACAAUGGGCGAAAGCCUGAUGCAGCGACGCCGCGUGAGGGAUGACGGCCUUCGGGUUGUAAACCUCUUUCAGUAGGGAAGAAGCGAAAGUGACGGUACCUGCAGAAGAAGCACCGGCUAACUACGUGCCAGCAGCCGCGGUAAUACGUAGGGUGCGAGCGUUAUCCGGAAUUAUUGGGCGUAAAGAGCUCGUAGGCGGUUUGUCGCGUCUGUCGUGAAAGUCCGGGGCUUAACCCCGGAUCUGCG
rnacentral:rRNA from 1 species